UGCUAAGUGUUAGGGGGUUUCCGCCCCUUAGUGCUGCAGCUAACGCAUUAAGCACUCCGCCUGGGGAGUACGGUCGCAAGACUGAAACUCAAAGGAAUUGACGGGGGCCGCACAAGCGGUGGAGCAUGUGGUUUAAUUCGAAGCAACGCGAAGAACCUUACCAGGUCUUGACAUCCUCUGACAAUCCUAGAGAUAGGACGUCCUUCGGGGGCAGAGUGACAGGUGGUGCAUGGUUGUCGUCAGCUCGUGUCGUGAGAUGUU
rnacentral:rRNA from 1 species